rnacentral:rRNA from 11 species
GUCAACCAGAAUAAUAAACUGGUCUCACCUAAAUGCCCUAAAGGCCAAUCAUGUCUCAUCUUAGAAGCUAAGCAGUAUCAGCCAUCUCUAGUAUUUGGAUGUGAGGCCACCAGCAAAUUCUAAGUGCUGUAGGCU